UACGAAGGGGGCAAGCGUUGUUCGGAAUUACUGGGCGUAAAGGGCUCGUAGGCGGCCAACUAAGUCCGACGUGAAAUCCCCAGGCUCAACCUGGGAACUGCGUCGGAUACUGGAUGGCUUGAAUUCGGGAGAGGGAUGCAGAAUUCCAGGUGUAGCGGUGAAAUGCGUAGAUAUCUGGAGGAAUACCGGUGGCGAAGGCGGCAUCCUGGACCGACAUUGACGUUGAGGAGCGAAAGCUAGGGGAGCAAACGGG
rnacentral:rRNA from 1 species